rnacentral:rRNA from 1 species
UACGUAGGGACCAAGCGUUGUUCGGAUUUACUGGGCGUAAAGGGCGCGUAGGCGGCGCGGUAAGUCACUUGUGAAAUCUCUGAGCUUAACUCAGAACGGCCAAGUGAUACUGCAGUGCUAGAGUGCAGAAGGGGCAAUCGGAAUUCUUGGUGUAGCGGUGAAAUGCGUAGAUAUCAAGAGGAACACCAGUGGCGAAGGCGAGUCCCUGGACGAUACCUGACACUGAGGCACGAAAGCUAGGGGAGCAAACAGG